rnacentral:rRNA from 1 species
UCCCGGCACGGGGAGGUAGUGACGAAAAUAACAAUACGGGACUCUUCAUGAGGCCCCGUAAUUGGAAUGAGCGCAGUCUAAACCCUUGGGCGAGGACCCAUUGGAGGGCAAGUCUGGUGCCAGCAGCCGCGGUAAUUCCAGCUCCAAUAGCGUAUAUUAAAGUUGUUGCAGUUAAAAAGCUCGUAGUUGGAUCUCGGGCGCAGGCGGGCGGUCCGGCUCGCGCCGGUUCGCCGCCCGUUCCCCUGCCCCACCCCUGCCGGCUCCCUCCCGGCGGUGCUCUUUACUGAGCGUCCCGGGCGGCCGGCGCGUUUACUUUGAAAAAAUUAGAGUGUUCAAGGCGGGCCCGCCGAGCCCGAAUAACUGCGCAUGGAAUAAUGGAAUAGGACCUCGGUUCUAUUUUGCUGGUUUUCGGAAUCCGAGGUAAUGAUUGACGGGGACAAACGGGGGCAUUCGUAUUGCGGCGUUAGAGGUGAAAUUCUUGGAUCGCCGCAAGACGGGCUACUGCGAAA